GGGUCGGCGUUUAGUUCAGCGCAGCGACUCGGGGACCUGGAGCUGACGCCUAGACACUUGUAUUAGCUUUAAUAGAAGAGAAAUGGAGGAGCCAUAGAAUAUUAAGGAUGAAUUCAGGAAGGCCUGAGACCAUGGAAAACUUGCCUGCUCUCUACACUAUUUUCCAAGGAGAGAUCGUGAGUUACUGUAGAGCAGAGGCCAUGAUUGUCUCAUAUGUCUUGUUAUGGUGAAGCUGAAACAGUGCUCAAGAUGAAGCAGCUAAUUGAAGACAC
rnacentral:lncRNA from 1 species